CAGCUGAGCCUCCUUCUUCUCCUUCAUCUCCUGGAGCUUCGAGGCGAUCUUGCUCACGUCAUUCUGCAUGCUGUCCCGGACGGAGGUUGUACUGUCUUCGGGACAGAAAUGGCCCAUGUGAUGCUGCCCCUUGGCUUUCAGCCAGUGCUCGGUUAGCAGAGGGUCAUCGUGAGCACUGGACGAGAGUAUCAGUGGCCUGUUUCAAUGGUGUUGGUUGAGAAUCUGAACAAGACGUUACAUUUUUCAUACCCUUCUUCCCUGGGAUCUAUCAGC